rnacentral:rRNA from 1 species
ACGUAGGGUGCAAGCGUUAAUCGGAAUUACUGGGCGUAAAGCGUGCGCAGGCGGUUCGGAAAGAAAGGUGUGAAAUCCCAGGGCUUAACCUUGGAACUGCACUUUUAACUACCGGGCUAGAGUACGUCAGAGGGGGGUAGAAUUCCACGUGUAGCAGUGAAAUGCGUAGAGAUGUGGAGGAAUACCGAUGGCGAAGGCAGCCCCCUGGGAUGAUACUGACGCUCAUGCACGAAAGCGUGGGGAGCAAACAG